rnacentral:rRNA from 1 species
GCACAAGCGGCGGAGCAUGCGGAUUAAUCGAUGCAACGCGAAGAACCUUACCAAGGCUUGACAUACACCGGUAACGCCCAGAGAUGGGUGCCCCUUUGUGGUCGGUGGACAGGUGGUGCAUGGUUGUCGUCAGCUCGUGUCGUGAGAUGUUGGGUUAAGUCCCGCAACGAGCGCAACCCUCGUCCUAUGUUGCCAGCGGGUCAUGCCGGGGACUCAUGGGAGACUGCCGGGGUCAACUCGGAGGAAGGUGGGAUGACGUCAAAUCAUCAUGCCCCUUAUGUCUUGGGCUUCACGCAUGCUACAAUGGCCGGUACAAAGGGCUGCGAUACCGCGAGGUGGAGCGAAUCCCAGAAAGCCGGUCUCAGUUCGGAUUGGGGUCUGCAACUCGACCCCAUGAAGUCGGAGUCGCUAGUAAUCGCAGAUCAGCAACGCUGCGGUGAAUACGUUCCCGGGCCUU